CGCUGGCGGUAGGCUUAACACAUGCAAGUCGUGCGAGAAAGUAUCUUCGGAUAUGAGUAGAGCGGCGGACGGGUGAGUAACGCGUAGGAAUCUACCUAGUAGAAGGGGAUAGCCCGGGGAAACCCGGAUUAAUACCGUAUACCUCCUUCGGGAGAAAGAAGGCCUCUCUUUGAAGCUUUCGCUACUAGAUGAGCCUGCGUAAGAUUAGCUUGUUGGUGAGGUAAAGGCUCACCAAGGCUACGAUCUUUAGCUGGUCUGAGAGGACGAUCAGCCACAUUGGGACUGAGACACGGCCCAGACUCCUACGGGAGGCAGCAGUGGGGAAUAUUGGACAAUGGGCGCAAGCCUGAUCCAGCCAUACCGCGUGUGUGAAGAAGGCCUUCGGGUUGUAAAGCACUUUAAGCAGGGAGAAAAAGUUAUAAGUUAAUACCUUAUAACCCUGAUGUUACCUGCAGAAUAAGCACCGGCUAAUUCCGUGCCAGCAGCCGCGGUAAUACGGAAGGUGCAAGCGUUAAUCGGAAUUACUGGGCGUAAAGCGCGCGUAGGUGGUUUGUUAAGUUGGGUGUGAAAGCCCUGGGCUCAACCUAGGAACUGCAUCCAAAACUAACUCACUAGAGUACGAUAGAGGGAGGUAGAAUUCAUAGUGUAGCGGUGGAAUGCGUAGAUAUUAUGAAGAAUACCAGUGGCGAAGGCGGCCUCCUGGAUCUGUACUGACACUGAGGUGCGAAAGCGUGGGUAGCGAACAGGAUUAGAUACCCUGGUAGUCCACGCCGUAAACGAUGACAACUAGCUGUUGGGAGACUAUGUCUUUCAGUGGCGCAGCUAACGCUUUAAGUUG
rnacentral:rRNA from 1 species